rnacentral:rRNA from 1 species
UCUCGGUACNNCGCUGUGGGGUGUGGNGCACGGCUGAGUAACRCGUGGGUAACCUGCCCUCGGGRSGGGGAUAAMCCCGGGRAACUGGGGGUAAUACCCGAUAGGCGGACRGGCCUGGAACGGUUGUCCGCCUAAAAGGAUASAAGGGGGAUAUCGCCUUCURUCCGCCCGAGGAUGGGGCUGCGUCCCAUCAGGYUGUUGGCGGGGUAACGGCCCGCCAAACCUGUAACGGGUAGGGGCCGUGAGAGCGGGAGCCCCCAGAUGGGCACUGAGACAAGGGCCCAGGCCCUACGGGGCGCACCAGGSGGGAAACCUCCGCAAUGCGGUAACCCGUGACGGGGUCACCCCGAGUGCUCUCCGUUUGGAGAGCUUUUCCCUACUGUAAAAAGGUAGGGGUAAUAAGUGGGGGGCAAGUCUGGUGUCAGCCGCCGCGGU